rnacentral:lncRNA from 1 species
UUGAAAAUAGUACUUGAGUCACCUGUGCCGUCCAUGGGAACUCCAGAGCCUCUCUUUCAAAGGAUCGUCAGAUACCUAGCAGUUGCCUCUUCCAUGAAAAGCCAAGAUAAAUCAAAAUCAUAUAUUCAACAGAUCAUCUUAAAACUGCUUGUCACAUGGACCGUUGAUUGCCCAGCUGCAGUUCAGUGCUUUCUAGAUUCACGCCACCACCUAACGUACCUGCUCGAUCUGGUAUCAAACCCAGCUGCAACAGUUUGCAUAAGAGGCUUGGCGUCUAUCCUACUGGGAGAAUGCGUCAUCUACAACAAAUCAAGCGAGAAUGGUAAAGAUGCUUUUGCUGUAGUUGAUGCUGUGAGCCAGAAGAUGGGGCUCACAUCAUACUUCUCGAAGUUCGAAGAGAUGCAGAGCAGCCUCAUCUUCUCUUCUUCCUCCGAGAGACCUCGAGAGGAUCAUGAACCGUUGACGAGAACAGCCACGCCUAGUGAAGCCGAGAUCGAGGAUGUUGACGUGGCAGGUGCGAUGGAUAAGGGGAACGAGGAUCACCCGAUGCUCAUAUCGUUGUUUGAUCCUAGCUUCACAGGCUUAGUGAAGAGCCUUGAAGGUAGCAUUAGAGAGAGAAUCGUGGACGUGUAUAGUCGGCCAAAAAGUGAGGUGGCUGUAGUACCGGCGGAUUUGGAGCAGAGGAGCGGAGAGAAUGAGAAAGACUACAUCAACCGCGUGAAAGCUUUUAUAGAGAAACAGUGCUCGGAGAUUCAGGUACAUGCUUCUUGCUCAACUCGUCUAUGCUUUUAAUUGUUUUAUUGCAAAAAUUAUUUUGAUGAAUUAUCAAAAUUAAAUAUACAAAACAACAAAUUUAUUGAUUUGUACUUACAUCAUUACUUUAAUUUAACAGAUUUAAACUAAUUUAUUUUUAUUUAAAUCGAUUUAGAAUGGUUUAAACCGAUUUGAAUCAUAUAAAUCAGAUUUUAAGAAAAUUGUUUUGUCUAAGACAGAUUUGCCGCCUUAAACCGACUUUUAGAACCAUGAUUACUACGAACUAUGUCUUAUGUUCUUAGUGAGAAGUGAACUGAAACAAAUAUUCAUACAAUUAGUCUCCAAAUUUAUGUGAUAUGUAUGAAUAUGAUUAUGUGAAGGUUAUAACCGAAACAAAAUAAAUCUCAACAUCAGUUGUGCCUUAAAGAGCUUAUUGUCGACCUCUGUGUACUUUUCCAGAACCUUCUUGCUCGGAACGCUGCUUUGGCAGAAGACGUAGCGAGCUCUGGCAGGAACGAGCAAUCUCAAGGAUCAGAGCAAAGAGCAAGUACAGUAAUGGAGAAGGUUCAUAUAGAUAGCAUCAAGCGAGAACUCCAAGAAACAUCUCAACGCUUAGAGACAAUCAAAUCAGAAAAAGCCAAGAUGGAGUCUGAGGCAUCAGAAUACAAGAACGUUGCCGCGAAACUUGAAUCAGACCUGAAGGGCCUGUCGGACGCAUACAACAGUCUAGAACAAGCGAACUACCAUCUCGAGAAAGAGGUGAGAUCCUUGAAAGGAGGAGAAGGUCCUAUGGAGUAUCCUGAUGUAGAAGCGAUUAAGGAAGAAGUGAGAAAGGAAGCUCAGAAAGAGAGCGAAGACGAGUUGAACGACUUGUUAGUGUGUUUGGGACAAGAGGAGAGCAAAGUGGAGAAGCUAACGGCGAAGCUGGUAGAGUUAGGAGUUGAUGUUGAUAAGCUUUUGGAGGAUAUUGGGGACGAGUUGCAAGCUCAAGGGGAAUGUGAAGAUGAUGAUGAUGAUGACCACUAAACAAAGUUGUAGAGAUCAAAUCUUCUCAGUCACUCUAAGUAAUUUAUCAUCUACUUUCCAACAUGUUAUAUUGUUUUCUUGAUUUCUCAGAAGCUUUUUUACUUCAAGAUAUAGACAAGAUGAAUGAAUGAAAGAAGAAUCAGAUUUGGUUUCUCACUCUUAUUCUUCAUAGUCAUCUUUGAUCAUUUUACCAGUAUUUUCAGAUAACGGGGGGAAUUGAUUCAAGGUGCAAUGCAGAAGGGUUCAGAUGAAGCUUUACCCUCCAAAUCUAGAGUAAAACAAACAAGCAUUUUGAUUGAAAAGUUUGCAUUAAUUGUUAUUGUGCGUGUAUUUUGAGAAAUUGCAAACAAAAAUAGCAGUUAGUUUUCUGAAGUGAAAGUCAAAAUCAACAAGACACAAGGAGGGAGGAUCAGUCACGUAUCAAAAGCCUCAAGUCGUAAGAAUCCUCUUCUUGUUGGAAUCUUGUGUGAGCUUUCUGAAGGAUUUUGAGAACCUUAGACAAUGAUCCAUUGCUUCGACUCUCGUCGCUCUUCUUCUCUGCGUGAGAGUAAAAUUCUUCUUCCGAAUCAUUAUUCGUCAUCUGGUAUCUGAAAUAAAUGUACUGUUUCACCUGCUCUGACUGUGUUGUGCACUUGUGCUAUGUUUUAACUUAUUGUUUGUCUGUCCAGGUUCGAGGUGCCUUAGAAACUCUUCUUGGCGCUCUAACGCCAAUCGAUCAUGCAAGGGCACAGAAGACUGAAGUCCAUGCGGCUCUUAUGAAUUCCGAUUUGCUCUCCCGUGAAGCUGAAAAUAUCACUCUUCUUUUAAGUUUGCUGGUUAGAGUUUAUUAUAUAUUUUCGAAACUGUCUUGUCAAAUUUUUGUGCGUGCAUCAUAUCAUAUUGUUUGUUUUCCUUGUGGUAUGGCAGGAGGAAGAAGAUUUUUAUGUUCGAUAUUUCACUCUCCAGAUUUUGACAGCUCUUCUUAUGAACUCUCAAAAUAGGUAUAUAUUCUUACAGAGUAUUAAUGCUGUGCCAUCUUUCUAUCUAUGCUGUAGAGUCUUUUGUUGAUGGUCUCUUCAGAUUGCAGGAAGCUAUUUUGACUACUCCUCGCGGCAUAACUCGGCUCAUGGAUAUGCUGAUGGAUAGGGAGGUAACAGUUAACUAUAUCUUGGAUAUUCUUAACGUUGCUAUUGGUUUGUUUAAGAGUCUGGUCUCUUUAGCCUUCAGUUAACCUCAAAUAAUUAUUAGUCUGGGAAGGGAUGAAUAUUAUGUUUCAUAAACUUUAUUUAUUGGUGUUUGGCUUACAGGUAAUCCGGAACGAGGCUUUGUUGCUUCUUACGCACUUGACGCGUGAAGCAGAGGUGCGAUAACCUGCUUAUAUCUGUAACUCUUCGUUUUCUUCUGCCUUUCUUUAGCUGAAGUAGCCAUUGAAUCUGAUCGAUCUCGCUUAAUGAUUAACUACUUGUAGGAGAUCCAAAAAAUUGUUGUCUUUGAAGGUGCAUUUGAAAAGAUUUUUAGCAUCAUCAAGGAGGAAGGAGGGUCAGAUGGCGAUGUGGUUGUGCAGGUGACCAGUAGCUCUUUUUUUUUUAAAAUAUAUUAUAGCACUAAGAAUUGGACAUUUGAGAAGGAAAAGUGAUAUUGUUUUGUUCUUUAAUUUAGAACUACAAAAUUAUUGGCAUUUACACGUCCAAAUGUUGUCUUCCUGCAAUUUUUGCAAGCACUUCCUUGUCCAUGCAUUUGCACUAAUAGUGUUCGUUCUUUACAGGACUGUCUGGAGUUGUUGAAAAAUCUUCUUCGCAACAGUUCAUCAAACCAGGUAUCAAAGCUUUGUAUAUGUUCUGUAUUUUUCUGAUUCAUCUGCACAAAUGCUGAUAUUCGAAAUUGUACAGAUACUACUAAGGGAGACCAUGGGUUUUGAACCAAUCAUUUCAGUUCUAAAACUGCGAGGGAUUACAUAUAAGUUCACCCAGCAGAAGGUUAGAUCAUCGAGUGCUUCUCUCAUUUUGGAUUGAUUCUACCAGCUAGUGCGAGUUUGUUAAUAUUUUUCCGUCUCAAUGAACAAAAUCCUAGUAGACUGUUAAUCUGCUUUGUGCACUGGAGACAAUCAAUAUGCUGAUCAUGGGAGGUGCAGUCACGGACCCUGGAAAAGAAUCAAACAAACUGGCAAAUAGAACGGUUUUUGUUCAGGUUUGUGUUACGAUGUAAAAAAUGUUGUGGCUCCCCAUUGUUGACAUAUGUUUCUUAUUAUAUCAUAUUUGGUCUAAUCAACAGAAAAAACUACUAGACCACCUCCUUAUGUUGGGUGUUGAAAGCCAAUGGUCGCCUGUUGCUGUUCGGUGCAUGGUAAGCAAAUCUCCUUUGUUAUCAUUCAAAUUUCUUUUCUGAUUUGUGCAACUGACAACAAUUUCGAAAAUUCAAUUUAACUUCUUCUUUUGUUGAACCUUGUUUCUAAGUUGACCAUGGAACUGGUGUGUUUAUGGGUUUUUAUCUAGAGAUUGUUAAUGUAUCAUCUAGACCCAGUAAGCUUAAGUAUCUAAUGGGUCUUCUAUUUUUUGAUUCUUUGCUACUAGACAUUUAAAUGCAUUGGAGAUCUGGUUGAUGGACAUCCCAAGAACCGUGAUAUCCUUGCUAGCAAAGUUCUUGGUGAAGAUCGGCAAGCAGAACCUGCACUCAAUUCUAUCCUCCGGAUCAUUUUACAGACAUCUAGUAUUCAAGAGUUUGUUGCUGCUGAUUAUGUCUUCAAGACCUUCUGUGAGGUUUGGAACUUUUGUGUUAUAUGUUAUUAUUUGAUAGUGUAAUGUGAGCUUGCAGCUUAUUGUUACAUUCUCUAAACGUUUUCAGAAAAAUCGGGAGGGUCAAGCAAUGCUAGCUUCAACUUUAAUACCCCAACCACAUCCCACCACCCGAGAUCCUCUAGAAGAUGAUGUUAACAUGUCUUUUGGAAGGUGUUAUCCUCUUUUCCUUUCUCCAGCAGCUUUCACCGGUUCAUUAUCAUUGCUCUUUUGACCUAAUGCUCUUGUAUCAAAUCUUACUGGAAUUUUAUAUUUGUGUCAGUAUGUUAUUGCGAGGCAUUUUCCCUGGUGAAACUGAUGGGGAUCUUGAGGUAAAAUAUUUGUGUCUCUGUUGAAUGUUAAUUUGUUACGUCUUCCAGAACUAAUCUAUUGAUUUCAAACAGACAUGUUGCAGAGCUGCGAGCAUUCUUUCUCAUGUUUUGAAAGACAACAUUCAGUGCAAGGAAAAGGUAAUUGACUUCAAUGUAACCACACCUUUAUACCUUAGGUUCUGCAUUGCCUGACUGUUUCAGAAACUCAACAGGCUUUGAAAAUAGUACUUGAGUCACCUGUGCCGUCCAUGGGAACUCCAGAGCCUCUCUUUCAAAGGAUCGUCAGAUACCUAGCAGUUGCCUCUUCCAUGAAAAGCCAAGAUAAAUCAAAAUCAUAUAUUCAACAGAUCAUCUUAAAACUGCUUGUCACAUGGACCGUUGAUUGCCCAGCUGCAGUUCAGUGCUUUCUAGAUUCACGCCACCACCUAACGUACCUGCUCGAUCUGGUAUCAAACCCAGCUGCAACAGUUUGCAUAAGAGGCUUGGCGUCUAUCCUACUGGGAGAAUGCGUCAUCUACAACAAAUCAAGCGAGAAUGGUAAAGAUGCUUUUGCUGUAGUUGAUGCUGUGAGC